rnacentral:misc_RNA from 1 species
GAUGAAGAACGUAGCGAAAUGCGAUAAGUAAUGUGAAUUGCAGAAUUCAGUGAAUCAUCGAGUCUUUGAACGCACAUUGCGCCCCCUGGUAUUCCGGGGGGCAUGCCUGUCCGAGCGUCAUUCCCGCCCUCAAGCACGGCUUGUGUGUUGGGCCCCCGCCCCCCGGCUUCGGGGGGCGGGCCCGAAAGGCAGCGGCGGCACCGCGUCCGGUCCUCGAGCGUAUGGGGCUUCGUCACCCGCUCUGUAGGCCCGGCCGGCGCCCGCCGGCGACCCCAAUCAAUCUUUCCAGGUUGACCUCGGAUCAGGUAGGGAUACCCGCUGAACUUAAGCAUAUCAAUAAGCGGAGGA